UCAAAGAGGAAAAAGCCACAGUGAUGGUUGUUUUGUGGCCGUGACUGCUUGUUCCAUUGCUGCAGGGAUGAAAAGCAAGCAGCAGUUCUGUUAAAGCAUCUUUAUGUUGCUUCAUAGUUGUUACAUGCAAAUUGCCUCCUUUGGAAAGCCAGUUCAUUAUCAUAAUGGUAGCUAAUUUACUUCCUUGUCUUCCUUGCUCACUAUGGUAUCCAAAUGUCUUUGUUUUUCUGUUCCAUUACCUGAGUCUCUCUUUACCUGAUUGGAGAAAAUGGAGUAAUGUUUUAUAGAGUAGUAUUUCUCUCUCUGAUAGUUGUGAGUAGAAAGGAGGUAGGCUCUUGGCUAAAGGGAGAUGGACCUUGCUUUUCCUUUUACUGCAAGAGAUGCUCACACAUAGAAUAGAGUAUGCAGCUCCUAAAGGGAGCAGCCUUGAAAUGUCAGUGUGAGGGGAGAGAGGCUUUUAACUCUGACCUUUGAGUCAAUGGUAGAUGGUCUGGUUCGUGCCACUUGCAUCCUGAGGUAGAUAAAUAAGUGUUGUGGAGUCUGCCAUAAUCCAGUGGACAGCUUUGUAGGACUCUCAUGUGCUGCAGUCAUUGUGUGGGAGGGCUGGGCAGAGGAGUAGCAGAAUGGAUGACGAGACCUAUCAGUGUCUUUGGUGGGUAUGGUUUGUGCUUCAGUUCUUAUCUAGCCAGUGAGGUAGCUCAGCCAGGAAUGUACAGUUAAUCCCCUUGCUGGUGUGGCUUAAACAAGACCUUUGUGAAAAUUCAAGGGAACGUGGCCCUAAUUGUGUAUUCCUGGAGCUGUGCUUGAGACCUAGGAUCAGUGAUUUGCCUGGUGUAAUGCAAGUCCCAUCAGAAAUUUGAAAGAGGUAAAUUUGAUCAGUGGUUUGUGAAGCUGUUCUCAAUUGACACUGAGUACUUCCCUUCAGUUGCCUUGCCCAGCUGAGAUGUAGGUACUGAGAAGUGAACCAACAGCCUGAGUCAUUUUCAGUUACUGAAUUUUCAUCUUGUGUGACAUGUGGCCCAUUCAGACUUUCUAAAUUAUUCCUGCAGAAGGUGAAGUGGGUGCCACUAAUUAAGGGAUUAGCAGUUCCUUUACUGUUGUUUUCCUCAGAACAGAGCCCCUAGAGGCAUGGCUGUAGUGUAGUGCCAGUUCAGGAGAUGAGUGUGUACAAUGUGGAUGUCUGUUGUGAAUGGAAAUUGCAUCUGACACUGUGUGUGGUAUCUUCUCAGCAGUUACAGUGAACCUGAGCCAUUUCUAUUUGGCCAGGCUGGAAUUUUCUGCUUUUCUACACACUGGCAGAAGGGAAGUUUGAAAUAUAGCACCUUUUCCUUGAACAUAUUGUUCCAUAGUUCAGGGAGCACACUUGUAGGCAUCUUUAAAUCCUUAACUUUCCCUAUUUUAGGGAAGGAGAAAACAUUAACAUACUCACUACACACUGAGAUUCUGCGUCUUGGGAUAUUCUUGUUAGCUGUCUCUAAUUAGCUGGUGUUUAUAUAGACCUUUGGAAACAUAAAGUGCCUCAGAAAUAUUAAGUACUGCACAUGUUUUGAAAGCAAAGCAGUAAUAUAAAAACACUUGGGUUGGUCAGGUUUCUCUGAAGGAACUGAAACCUUGGCACACCUGAUGUAGCUGAAGAGCUCCAUGCUUACAAUAGAUUUUUGUGUAUUUUAGGUGAUCCUCUCCUGAGAGUAAACUACUGUAGAAUGUUUCAAAAAAAUUUUUUAAUAGGAUGUUGAGGUGAGCAGAGAGAUUCUUCUGUAGCUGCUUAAGUGAUUUAUAGAGGCUGGAAGACCUUGGGUGAAAUGGUGCAUACACCUGUAAAAGGGCAGGUCCUGGCUGCUCCAGGUGUGCUUCUAGAAUGCUGUAUAAGUUACAGAACAAAUGCUAAUUGCCAGCCCUGUACUGAGAUCUGUUUCAUACUUAACUCUGACCCUGUCAAGGUUGCUCUUUGAUUACCCAGAAUGCUGCUGCCUUUGAUGUGAAAGAAUGUCUCUUUCUGUGGUCUUGAUCUAUGUGACAGACAAUUCCAAACCAGAGCACAAUAUUUCUGAAUUAAUUUCUGUCCUUCAUAUGACCAUCAGGCUUUUGUUUUGGAUCGAAGAGUUAGUUAUCACUGCUGGAUGAACAGCCAGGAGGGAGCAGCUAUUCACCUAAGGUCUGAGAUGCCAGGUUGCCCCAUCAGGUGUGCUUUACAGAAGGUCUUCAAGCCCACACUUGUCUUCUGGAAUGACAAAGUGUGUGACGACUUGAGCAGUGUCCCUGUGAUGCAGUGUGGAUAAUAGCAGUGGAGGCCCCCCAACAGAGCUGAGUGGAACAAAGAAGCUGGAGGGAAUUUGUGUAAGGAAGUAUUGAAAGAAAGGGAGGGAGUUCUACCUGGCACAUGAAAGGAGGAGAGUUUUUUCAGGCAGAAAAUUGAGUGGGAGAAGAAGACAAAGAGAGUACUGGGGGCAGGUAGUCGGUGUAGGGUGCGGGGGAGCUGAGAGAAAGGCUGUAGGUGGAAGCAGUAGCAGUGUAUGGAGCCUUCUGUUCACUUGCCAAUUCUAAUGUUAGCUAAUCUCUAAAUUAAGGAAAGCCACUUGGGUGUCAUCUGAUGGAUUGAUGCUCUUCCUUUGUGGAUGCUUUGUCUUCAGUAUGGAAGGCCAGCAGCACUUUGAGAGUUGCUGCAUUUACUCUGUUUGAUUUUAAUUUGCAGUGAUGGCAGGGAAAAGCAGUGGAGCCAGGUGCUUUGGCAUCUCUCAGGACACGUAUCAUGCUGUUUAUGCAGUCUGUAAUACUUUAUGCUUUUUUUGGAUGUGCCACUAUUUGGCACAUUGUUUCCAUAUGAUCUUAUUUCUGUUGAACUUUCUUCUGCAACAUCUGAGCUUAAAGAAGAACAAUAUUGUUACAGUCUUUGGAUGUGAUCCAGCUGAGCUUCUCUAUUGGAAUAAUUUCUUCACAUUAAAUUAAGGGACCAGGGCAAUGGCACUCAAAGCAGUAUAAAUGUCUGGCUUUGCUGGCCAGAUGACCAAGAAUGUUUAGGUGACAGAGAAAGAUGCAGGGAUUUGAGAGCUGGAAACAGGAUUGACAGAAAGAAAAAUCUGUGGGUGGUAACAGUAGUAUGUAGAAGCUAGUUCUGGCUAAAAGCAGUGUGAAAAUAAAUAUCACUUCACUAGUAGAGCUAAAUUCUGGAACAUCUUUAAAAGAGGGCUGGAGAGUGAAAAGCAACUGUAAUCUGAUUAACCUAUGAAAGUGAUUGGCCAAGGCAGCUACUAGGUGGACCAGACAUUCAGAUCAAGAAAUGUCUGUUGACCUUGCUUCUUUUUUAGUAGCCCUUUUCAGCAGUCUGUUCACUUCUGUUCCAUCACUGAUUAGUGUGCAGCUCUUCCCUUUGAGUGCUAAAGAAAAUCUUCAGGUUUUUCACCACUGACAAUGUACCAUUGCUGGUACUAGCCUGGAAAUUUGGCCAAGGUCAGAAACUCUAAGUAGAUAUGACUCUGUUGACCUGUUUGCUUGCAGACAUUUUGGCCAACUGGAAGUCUCCUGGACUGUUAUGCCAGGGUUAUCAAAGAAGACUUCUACAAUGCUACUAGACAAAAUACUUUUUUCCUUUUUGUUCACUCUUCAGAUCUUUUUGUCAGGUUCUGUAUUUAUAACAAGGGUAGUACUGCAUUCAAAAUUUUUUUAGAUGCAUACUAAAAAUGUGAAAGGUUCCUUUGUGGAAGAUUUUAAAAUAAAGAAGCAAUUUUUUGUGGUGGAGAAUCUCCCCCCAACUUUCAGUAUGUAUAAUACUGCCCUUAUGCAGUGCAUAUUUAAUUAAUCACUUUGCUUUAUUAAACUGUUUAAUCACUUUG